CGCUGCUGCCCUCCUAGGGCGUUUCCUCCCCGACUGAAGCCGCUCGAGAGGGCGGCUUCCUUUUUGUCGCGAG
rnacentral:sRNA from 1 species